UGACCUUCAUAAUCUUCAACGGAGAAGAAAACAACAAAAUUCAAUCUAAUCCAAUUGCAAUCGCGCCAGAUCUAACUACCUUGUUCUUUUUCAAAUUUAUUUUUUUGUUCGCAUUGGUUGUUUGUUGCAGUAACUGCUCGUGAGAUUUCGCUGUUUUAGGAAUUACAGAGUUUCUCGCACUGCAAUCCGCCGGUUCUUCAGGGAUGGAAAUGGCUCAAUUGAUAUGUGGAGGUUGCCACACCUUGCUUAUGCAUGCUCUUGGAGCAACCAGUGUCAGGUGUUCCUGCUGUCACACUGUAAAUCUUGUGCCAGUUGUGCAAGUUAUGGUGUUCUUUUACUACCAGAUGAAAACUGGAUAAUUUUUGUGCUUUCGUAAUACUUGGAAUUAGUUAAUUAUGAAUUGAUACACUCCCAAUGAUCAACAAAUGGUUUAGGGUUUAGGGGUAAGUGGUAACCCCAUCGACUUGAUACAAAUAAUA